rnacentral:rRNA from 1 species
AAAUUGAAGAGUUUGAUCAUGGCUCAGAUUGAACGCUGGCGGCAGGCCUAACACAUGCAAGUCGAACGGUAACAGGAAGCAGCUUGCUGCUUUGCUGACGAGUGGCGGACGGGUGAGUAAUGUCUGGGAAACUGCCUGAUGGAGGGGGAUAACUACUGGAAACGGUAGCUAAUACCGCAUAACGUCGCAAGACCAAAGAGGGGGACCUUCGGGCCUCUUGCCAUCGGAUGUGCCCAGAUGGGAUUAGCUAGUAGGUGGGGUAACGGCUCACCUAGGCGACGAUCCCUAGCUGGUCUGAGAGGAUGACCAGCCACACUGGAACUGAGACACGGUCCAGACUCCUACGGGAGGCAGCAGUGGGGAAUAUUGCACAAUGGGCGCAAGCCUGAUGCAGCCAUGCCGCGUGUAUGAAGAAGGCCUUCGGGUUGUAAAGUACUUUCAGCGGGGAGGAAGGGAGUAAAGUUAAUACCUUUGCUCAUUGACGUUACCCGCAGAAGAAGCACCGGCUAACUCCGUGCCAGCAGCCGCGGUAAUACGGAGGGUGCAAGCGUUAAUCGGAAUUACUGGGCGUAAAGCGCACGCAGGCGGUUUGUUAAGUCAGAUGUGAAAUCCCCGGGCUCAACCUGGGAACUGCAUCUGAUACUGGCAAGCUUGAGUCUCGUAGAGGGGGGUAGAAUUCCAGGUGUAGCGGUGAAAUGCGUAGAGAUCUGGAGGAAUACCGGUGGCGAAGGCGGCCCCCUGGACGAAGACUGACGCUCAGGUGCGAAAGCGUGGGGAGCAAACAGGAUUAGAUACCCUGGUAGUCCACGCCGUAAACGAUGUCGACUUGGAGGUUGUGCCCUUGAGGCGUGGCUUCCGGAGCUAACGCGUUAAGUCGACCGCCUGGGGAGUACGGCCGCAAGGUUAAAACUCAAAUGAAUUGACGGGGGCCCGCACAAGCGGUGGAGCAUGUGGUUUAAUUCGAUGCAACGCGAAGAACCUUACCUGGUCUUGACAUCCACGGAAGUUUUCAGAGAUGGAUUGGUGCCUUCGGGAACCGUGAGACAGGUGCUGCAUGGCUGUCGUCAGCUCGUGUUGUGAAAUGUUGGGUUAAGUCCCGCAACGAGCGCAACCCUUAUCCUUUGUUGCCAGCGGUCCGGCCGGGAACUCAAAGGAGACUGCCAGUGAUAAACUGGAGGAAGGUGGGGAUGACGUCAAGUCAUCAUGGCCCUUACGACCAGGGCUACACACGUGCUACAAUGGCGCAUACAAAGAGAAGCGACCUCGCGAGAGCAAGCGGACCUCAUAAAGUGCGUCGUAGUCCGGAUUGGAGUCUGCAACUCGACUCCAUGAAGUCGGAAUCGCUAGUAAUCGUGGAUCAGAAUGCCACGGUGAAUACGUUCCCGGGCCUUGUACACACCGCCCGUCACACCAUGGGAGUGGGUUGCAAAAGAAGUAGGUAGCUUAACCUUCGGGAGGGCGCUUACCACUUUGUGAUUCAUGACUGGGGUGAAGUCGUAACAAGGUAACCGUAGGGGAACCUGCGGUUGGAUCACCUCCUUACCUUAAAGAAGC